rnacentral:rRNA from 1 species
ACGCUCGACACCUACGGGAGGGCAGCAGUGAGGAAUAUUGGUCAAUGGGCGCUAGCCUGAACCAGCCAAGUAGCGUGAAGGAUGAAGGCUCUAUGGGUCGUAAACUUCUUUUAUAUAAGAAUAAAGUGCAGUAUGUAUACUGUUUUGUAUGUAUUAUAUGAAUAAGGAUCGGCUAACUCCGUGUCAGCAGCCGCGGUAAUCUGAGCGGGCUGGCAAGGC